UUCUUUUAACUUUUCAAUUUUUCUUCUUUCGAGACUGGGUUUUUUUACUUGUCUUCUUCCUUUUUUCGAAAUUUUUAAUUUUUUUCCUUUUCUCAUUUUUCGAGAUUCUCAUAAACAUCAAAAUGAACAAGGGAGAUUAUAUAAUCCUGCAUUCUUUAAAGUUUAGCAACUCUGACUCUUAGACACGAUCGAGUUACAUGCCACUAAUGUACACAUGAUCAAAUGAAGGCUUGAAAGAAAGGGGAUACAAUAUUAUGGAGGUUAUGAAAAG
rnacentral:lncRNA from 1 species